UGAGGAACAUGGCCUUCGGCGGGGGAUAGCCGGCCCAACGGCCGGGUAAUACCGCGUACGACCAUUUGGGGACAUCCCCGAGUGGUGAAAGCAGCAAUGCGCCGAUGGAGUGCCUCGCGGCCUAUCAGCUAGUUGGUGGGGUAACGCUCACCAAGGCAACGGACGGGUAGCUGGUCUGAGAGGAUGGCCAGCCACAGUUGGGACUGAGACACGACCCAGACCUCCGUACGGGGAGGNAGCG
rnacentral:rRNA from 1 species